rnacentral:lncRNA from 1 species
GGUAUUAGGGCAGCGGGCAGAGCCCGGCUGGGCUCCGGGAGGCGGCUGCUGCAAACUCUGGCUUUAAAGGGCUUUUAAAAGUAGCGCAGCGGCGGCUCGCGGAGCUGCCUCUCUCUCCUCUCUCUCUUUUUUUUUUUGGUUCUCUCCGUCGUGCAGGAUGGCUGAUAAAAUCAUACUUUGUCAACCACCUAGCCCCGCUCACACCACUGAAAUGUUUGACUUGUCUUUUCCCUCCGUUGGUUCUUCGGUCAGUGAUUUUAAAUAAGAAAGUUGGUGACUUCAUUUUUUGCCCGUCAUACAUGGUAACUGCAAUGCUGAAGACACUGGAGGAGCUGCUCCUCCUCAGCUCUUCUGUGUGAGGUGAGCAGCCAUCGAAAUGGGCAGAAAGAUUACCUGCAGGAUGCCUGAAGGCCCCCUUCUCUUUGAAGGACUUCUCUACUCUGUUUGCAUUGGGGUAACAUCUUUCCUCUGAGGAAUGUCUUCUGCAUCUCAGUUCUGAAGGAUGCUCAAGGUUUCAGAGCUUCGCUUCUGGCCUGUGUGGGAUUCCACAGCCAGUGUUCUGAAUCAGAUGUGAAAUGCUAAAUUAACCUAGCAGACGUGAGAAAUACAAUAAGUCUGUUAACAUUGCCUGAGUUGCGAUAUUUGGUCAACUUGAUGGGUUUUCAGGCCUUACCGUUUGCUGUUCAUCUGAAAUGUAAGAAUGAACUAACCCAGAUAACAGAUAUAACAUUGUAUCCUCCACCAUAGUUAGUCAAUAUCUGAUUGUAUUUAAUUGCAUGAACUUAUCGUGAUAGAAACUGUUUCAAAGUAAUUUAAAUGCAGCUUGAAAUUAAGUUUCACCAUCUAUUCAGUAUGUACUAUUUUCAGGUUUAUCUCCAGUUUCUUAUCAAGAACAAUGCUGUGUAUUAUGUAUUAUGACAAUGUUGCAUUUCAUAAGGUUAGGAAUGUAAUGGAAUUUUCUGGGCUAAACUUCUAAUAACUGAUAAUUUUAAUGAAAAUCACCAAGAUUACGCAAGUGAAGACCAAUCUUGAAGACAGGUGUUAUCUCUGCUAACUCUAAUAUGAAUGUGGCAUUUUUACCUGUAAAAGUAGGAUUAAAUACUAACAUGCAGAAAAAUUUUGAGAAUUUAAACAUAGUAUAAAUACAAAAGGUAUUACACAAGAAAAAUUUGAUAUAUAAAUUGACAUGAGAGACUAGCUAUUGUUUAGCGUGGCAAGUACCAUGCGCCAGCGUUUUUUGAGAGAUCAGAACUUUUUCCAUUUGAAUGUGGAUGGAUUCAAAAUAUCUUCAAACCAUGUAAAACAAACGACAAAAAUAGCCCUGCAUAAAUAAGUGCCUAGUUAGUCUAUUUGUAGGAU